rnacentral:rRNA from 1 species
GAGUUUGAUCCUGGCUCAGAACGAACGCUGGCGGCGUGCUUAACACAUGCAAGUCGAACGUGAUUGAGAGCUUGCUCUCAUGAAAGUGGCGCACGGGUGAGUAACGCGUGGAUAACCUGCCCUGGUAUCGGAAUAACAUCUCGAAAGGGGUGCUAAUACCGGAUAAGCCUACGGAGCCUUCGGUCUCUGCAGGAAAAGGUGGCCUCUAUUUAUAAGCUACCGUAUCAGGAUGGGUCCGCGUACCAUUAGCUAGUUGGUGGGGUAAUGGCCUACCAAGGCGACGAUGGUUAGCUGGUCUGAGAGGAUGAUCAGCCACACUGGAACUGAGACACGGUCCAGACUCCUACGGGAGGCAGCAGUGGGGAAUUUUGCGCAAUGGGGAAACCCUGACGCAGCAACGCCGCGUGAGUGAUGAAGGCUUUCGGGUCGUAAAGCUCUGUCAGAGGGGAAGAAAUGGGUCUGGCUAAUAUCCAGAUUCCUUGACGGUACCCUCAAAGGAAGCACCGGCUAACUCCGUGCCAGCAGCCGCGGUAAUAC